UGGAAUCUCUCCCAGUUCUUAACUGUUCUUGGUGUAGACCAAGCUGCUGGACUAAGCCGCCUCAGCCUGGUAAGGUGUGUUUCUGCUGAAGACUGGAGUUUCUCAGGAAUGCUUCAGAUGCCCUUCUUUGUGGAAGGAGCUCCUUGCUGUGGGACAGUCCUUGCCCUCCAGCCUGGGGAGAACCUCUACCCUGGAACAACCUGGACUCCAGUUCUGACAUUAUCAGCAGCCUCCUUGAGCACUGGUCUCCACGAGUCUCUGGAGGCCUCUCUCUACAAAGGCCUUUCAGGCUCCCUGGCUCCUUUCUGAACUUCCCGGCCGAAUGCCACAGCUAGCGCUCAGGAACAGCGGGAGAGAAGCAGCCUCCUCUUCCUCCGGGACUGGACAAAGCUGAUGAUCAUGGCUCACCUUCAGAGGCCCGGCACUGUGCAAAUGUUACCUUUUCUCUGAAGCCUUCCUGACCUCUGCUUCCCACCUGCUCCUUCCCAGGAAAGCCUGGGAGAAUGAGUGGCUUCUUCCUGUGCCCUCCUGCUGCUCCCUGCUCUGCUUCCUAUUGGGAGCGUGUAUCCGUCUGGCUGAUUCCAUUCGGUGAUAAUACCCAAGCAUAAGCCUGCGAAGCUUCUCCUUCUACCCUUUACGGUACUCAGGGACUUAGGCCAUUAAAGAGGUUGUUUAUACGCAAUUCAUCGAAACGUGACUGACCGAGGCCUGUGGACACACAGCACCAUUUCUGCUGGUUAUCAGAGCACAGCACAGGGGCAGGUGGCUCUGAAUGUCGCCUCUCCAUAUCUCUUCCCUGCCUGGUUCCUCCAGGUCAGGACCCCUCCUCUUGGGCCCCACCAGUCCUGUUGGCACUUCCCCUUUAGGGUGGCCCUAAAGACUCUUUUCUGGUCUCAGAGCAGGAGCUUUACUCGGUCUCAUCUUGUCAUUUCCAAGCCUCGAGUCUCCCCAGAGAGAGACUUUAACAACACCACUCAAACCCCUCUCCUCCAUUCUUCUGCCUCAUCUCUUCACUGAGGCCUGAAGGCAACAUGGCCUGGUACUGAAAAGAAAGGGUGGUAAGGCAGCCAGAGGCAGGAGGGUGCUUGGGGGAAACAUUGGCAAAGGUUUCAAAGACCCGCCGCAUCCCACUGCAUGCAAUUGCUAUGCUGGUCUUUCUCCCUGGGCUGAGAGCUUCUUGCAGGUCGAACCUGCAGACUAUUUGUUUUCACCUUCAAGACCAUUGGAUCAUGUUUUUGGACAAUGUUUAUUCAAUGAGUGGCCAUACGUGUAUAUGAACAUUCUUUGUUGGGAAAUGGUUAUAACUUACAUGCAUAAGCACUUAGAUUUAUCUCCAUGAUGCUAUUUAAUCCUCAAGACAAUCCUGGUAAGGAAGGACAGACAUUUUUAUUUCUUACGUUAUAGACAAGAGACCAGAGGACCAAGAGUCCUGCCUGGAGUUCUCUUACUGGCUAAAAGCAGGGCUGAGACUGAGACUAAGAUCUGCUUCCUUCAAAGCCCAUGUUCUUUCCAUUACGAAGGAGAGGAGAAAAUGGAGAUGAGAAGGGCAUGUGCCAUUCUCAGAACCUCCGAGGCUGCACCCAGCCAUCCUUAACCUCAGGGUCAUAUGGAAGCCUGGGGUGAGAUGAAAAUCUGAAAAGGGAUGCUAAUGCCUCACGUGGUCCCAGUGGCUAAUAGGAGACUUCACCUCUUAAGCAAAGAAUUCUCCAACAUUUUGUUCCCCUUCCAUUAUUGAGGACCUAAAAGAGCUUUUGUUUAUAUGGGUUCUAUCUAUCGAUUUUUGUGACAGUAGAAAUUAAAACAAACAAAAAAAAUCUUUGUUAAACAUCUAAUGUAUAGACUGGCAUUGCUUUAUACCUUUACCUCUUUAACCCCUGGCUUAGUGGAUGACAGCUAGAAUCUUCAAUCUUUUCUGAUGCAUUUCAUCUAUUCCAACUUGUUCCUUUAUAUGAAAUAUAUGCAGAACAUCCAUCCUCAUGCAGCUAGUAGUGGAGAAAGGGAGGUGUACCUUUAUUAAUAGCCUCUGGAGAUAAUUAUGGAUAUUCUUUUUAGAUACAAAACACAGUAAGGGAAAGCUUCCUAAAGAUUAGUUGCAAUGUGAAAUCUGAAACCGUAUCAAUACAGUGUCCUAUUUGCUCACAUUAAAAAGCCCACUGAAUUGUC